rnacentral:lncRNA from 1 species
GGUGUUGAAAGUUAUAUUAAAAACCACCCCCACUUCCUUACAGUACAAACAAACAAAAAUACACCCUAAAGAUAUGAAGCCUGUUAAAACGAGCCGAUGAGCUUUCCAGGAGGAGCCAGGGAGAGGUGAAGCCACAAGGAGGCUGAGGGCCCAUGGGAAGAGUUUCAAGAACAGGCUCUCUUCUCCAGAACCAUGCCAGAGAUGACAGAGAAUGAGACACCUACUAAGAAGCAACAUCGGUGAGUUUCUGGGGGAAAAUGACUGUUU